AUUGAACGCUGGCGGCAGGCCUAACACAUGCAAGUCGAGCGGAUGAGAGGAGCUUGCUCCUUGAUUCAGCGGCGGACGGGUGAGUAAUGCCUAGGAAUCUGCCUGGUAGUGGGGGACAACAGUUGGAAACGACUGCUAAUACCGCAUACGUCCUACGGGGGAAAGCAGGGGACCUUCGGGCCUUGCGCUAUCAGAUGAGCCUAGGUCGGAUUAGCUAGUUGGUGAGGUAAAGGCUCACCAAGGCGACGACCCGUAACUGGUCUGAGAGGAUGAUCAGUCACACUGGAACUGAGACACGGUCCAGACUCCUACGGGAGGCAGCAGUGGGGAAUAUUGGACAAUGGGCGAAAGCCUGAUCCAGCCAUGCCGCGUGUGUGAAGAAGGUCUUCGGAUUGUAAAGCACUUUAAGUUGGGAGGAAGGGCAGUAAGUUAAUACCUUGCUGUUUUGACGUUACCGACAGAAUAAGCACCGGCUAACUUCGUGCCAGCAGCCGCCGUAACAC
rnacentral:rRNA from 1 species